GUACCUGUUGAUUUUUUUCAUUGCAGGGAAGUAAUGAUUUAACACAUGGCACAGUAAGAAAGACUGAAACUUAUUAAGAAACAUUCUACUACAUCUAAAAACUAAAAACUUUUAAGAAUUUGGCUCAUUUGAUGUUGAAGUAUGACAAUUUCAGAGAUAUCCCAUCAUCAAAAUGUAUUAAAUCUCAAUGAUUAAGUAAUAAUGUGAAUGGACUUUAUCAUAUACAGUAAGAACAGCAUGAUACCAUGAUACAGGUUCCCCAUCUUACAAAAAGACCUAUACAAGAAAGAACAUGGUUGCUACAAUGCUUGAUCAAUUCUCCAACAG
rnacentral:lncRNA from 1 species